GAAGGCAGGUGGGGGGGGGCACAAAGACUUUCGCCCCCCGCCAACCUUCAGAAGACCUCUUCUGAAGGCUGGCGGGGGGCAAAAGUCUUUGUCCCCCUGCCUGCCUUC